rnacentral:rRNA from 1 species
GACGAACGCUGGCGGCGUGCUUAACACAUGCAAGUCGAACGAAGAGCGGUGGAUGCUUGCUUCUAUCAAUCUUAGUGGCGAACGGGUGAGUAACGCGUAAUCAACCUGCCCUUCAGAGGGGGACAACAGUUGGAAACGACUGCUAAUACCGCAUACGAUCUAAUCUCGGCAUCGAGGAUAGAUGAAAGGUGGCCUCUACAUGUAAGCUCUCACUGAAGGAGGGGAUUGCGUCUGAUUAGCUAGUUGGAGGGGUAACGGCCCACCAAGGCGAUGAUCAGUAGCCGGUCUGAGAGGAUGAACGGCCACAUUGGGACUGAGACACGGCCCAGACUCCUACGGGAGGCAGCAGUGGGGAAUCUUCCGCAAUGGACGAAAGUCUGACGGAGCAACGCCGCGUGAGCGAUGACGGCCUUCGGGUUGUAAAGCUCUGUUAAUCGGGACGAAAGGCCUUCUUGCGAAUAGUGAGAAGGAUUGACGGUACCGGAAUAGAAAGCCACGGCUAACUACGUG